rnacentral:tRNA from 1 species
GUAAAGUUAGUUUAAUGAAAAUAGGAAAUUGUGGGUUUCCAGAUAAAUUAUAUUUACUUUACU